AACGAACGCUGGCGGCAUGCCUAACACAUGCAAGUCGAACGAGACCUUCGGGUCUAGUGGCGCACGGGUGCGUAACGCGUGGGAACCUGCCCUUAGGUUCGGAAUAACUCCCCGAAAGGGGUGCUAAUACCGGAUAAUGUCUUCGGACCAAAGAUUUAUCGCCUUUGGAUGGGCCCGCGUUGGAUUAGCUAGUUGGUAGGGUAAAAGGCUACCAAGGCGACGAUCCAUAGCUGGUCUGAGAGGAUGAGCAGCCACACUGGGACUGAGACACGGCCCAGACUCCUACGGGAGGCAGCAGUGGGGAAUAUUGGACAAUGGGCGAAAGCCUGAUCCAGCAAUGCCGCGUGAGUGAUGAAGGCCUUAGGGUUGUAAAGCUCUUUUACCCGGGAUGAUAAUGACAGUACCGGGAGAAUAAGCUCCGGCUAACUCCGUG
rnacentral:rRNA from 1 species